ACCAACCAGUGUCAACCAAUCACAUCGUGUCAUCCAGCCGCCAAUCAAUCUGAGCGAGCGGCACAGAGCGAAGACUUCCUGUCAGAGAGACGCAGCCCAGUGAACAACUGGAGGGUAUUUAUGAGAAAGAGGAACCUGGACGAGCACAAAGCUGCUAUCUGCCAUUAAAACCAGUCGACACGUUUCACCACAAGGACAAACACGUCACUGUCAGCUCGAGCAGAGAGUGGAGAGAAACCUCACAGCUUCAGGUCACUUUACUGGACUCAAGAGGAAGCUGUGGUUUAUGUUCAGCAUAAAAAACUACAACAUGAAUAAUCUUCAGAUUAAAGGGUUGAAGUCAGAGCCGGAGGUCCUCUACUCAUCACUGAAGUAACCUUCACACCAGACCAACCAGUGGUGUCCAGCCGGCCUGUGAUUGGUCCUCAGAGACGUCACACCUCAGCACUGUCACCUGCUUCACUUCUUAUUUUAUAUGUUGAAGCUAAAUGAGACUUUUGCAGCUACAGAAAGUCAGACAGGUCAGAUUUAGAGCAUGUUUAGAGCAGAGUUUGAAUGUGUUCUUAAGUGAAAUAAAAAAAUAUAUAUAAGUAAAGAUUAAAAUGAACUGUUUAAUUGUUUGUUCCCAACACUUGUUUCAUUCACAUGUCUCUGUUGAACAGAGCCUCCACCUGUUUAGUGUCAUAUCUGACUUGUUAUUUAAACUGUAUUUAUGUUUAUUGGACUGUGUUCUUGUUGUGGCAGCUGUGACUUAUUAUUUCUCUGCAGCAUCAAUAAACUUUGCUCUCACUUCUUA